UAAAAGUUUACAAUACUUGUUCAUACUUCCAUGAGGCGAAAGGUUUGAGCUGCGAACACCAAAGCAAAAGCAUUCCAGAUUACAGGUCCAGAGUAUGAUAGGGAUUUGGGAAAGAAUUCCAUGCGUGGUUUGGGGACAGCCGGUUAGCAUUAUCUCUGGAUCUAAGUUCAAGCUCACAUGAAUUUUUCAGUGAAAUGUAUGAAGUUCAGUUGUGAUGGUAAUGAGAUGCAGGUCUUUGUCCUACAUGGUGAGGGAAACAGUGUAUGGCAUUUUUGGAAAACAUGUAAUAGAGUGGUGAAUCUGUGAUUGGCUGUCUCCAACUUAGAUGACUAGACUGCUUCAACAGUUGAUAGGGCCCUUCACAACCAUGAAAGUUAUUCGUGAUGCAACAGAUCUCACCUAGGUACCCUCCAGGUCUGAGACAUCCAACAUGAUGAUGAGAGAUAGUUGUUGGUUGGCGUGUUAGAGAAUACCGGGACAACAAUGAUGUAUCACCAGAGAUAACAAAGAAAUUCUUCAGGUUGUUGAUUCUUUAGAAAUAAGUGAUAUGCGGGUCUUCUAUGAGAAUAUGGUAGUAACUAUGGUUCAAAGAUGCUAUCCAUCAGUCACUGAGCUUCCUGAAACCAGACCUAAGGGAUACUGUCUCACCUGAAGUAGUUGCCAUCUGUUUGUCCAGUUUGUCAGUGGUUCCCUGUUUGAUGAGUAUGAAGAUUAUCUUCUUACUCCUGAGACUGAACUGCCCAAACCAGAUCAUCUAGAGACAUACUGGGUUUCUAUCGGGGAAAUGAAGCUCCAUACCGGAAAGGAGAGGUGUCUUGAACUGAGUAAGAUGGCUUUACUUCUCCAGUCACUACCACACAACAAUGCUGAUUCAGAGCCGCCCUUCAGCAUACUGAGGAAGAUACAGGCUGACAGCAGGAGCAACCUAGCUCUGGAGACCAUUCAGAACUUGAUGUCUGUGAAAAUGAACAAUCACUCUAUACAUUCUCUUCAUCUCAUGAACUUAUUAGAGAGGGAAAGUCAGCGUGUAAUGAAUACGCUCGUAAGUGAAGACAGCAUAAAUGUGUUAUUUCUUGAAAUACUAAAUUGUGCUUUUAGUAUUUUUAGUGUCUAUAGCUAGUGAUUUGUAUUCAUUGUGAUAUCUGGAUAAGAGGACACCAGUUAAGAAACAGAAAAGUGAUUUUGAUAUGUCAUGUAUAUUUUGUUGUUAAAAUAGUGUAAUGUAUUCUAUUAAUAUUUUGAAGUGAAUAUAUUUAAAAGUAGAAUGAAAGAUAAUAUAAAAUUUUUUAUUUUGUCUCUAAAAUUGUGUGAUCG